AAGCUACUGGGGGAGCCGAAGCUCCCCCCUAAAUUGGUGCGUGCUCUGUUUUUAUUGUUAUUGAGGGCCUGUUGUUUUUGUUGUUCGGCCCUUCCCGGUUUGCCGUGGCUUACCGGGUGCUCCCCAGAGAGGGGAGCCAAUAGCAAACGGAUUUCUUUGGACGCUGAUGCUGCCUUAAUCAACCAGUUCCGGCGCUGCCUCGAGGCAGUU
rnacentral:misc_RNA from 1 species